rnacentral:rRNA from 1 species
UGGGGAAUUGUUCACAAUGGGCGCAAGCCUGAUGACGCAACGCCGCGUGGGGGAUGAAGGUCUUCGGAUCGUAAACCCCUGUCGAAUGGGACGAAAGACUCGCGAGUGAAUACUUCGCGAGAGUGACGGUACCGUUAAAGGAAGCCACGGCUAACUCUGUGCCAGCAGCCGCGGUAAUACAGAGGUGGCAAGCGUUGUUCGGAAUUACUGGGCGUAAAGGGCGCGUAGGCGGCCCUCUAAGUCAGACGUGAAAUCCCCCGGCUUAACCUGGGAACUGCGUCUGAUACUGGAGGGCUUGAGUAUGGGAGAGGGAUGUAGAAUUCCAGGUGUAGCGGUGAAAUGCGUAGAUAUCUGGAGAAUACCGGUGGCGAAGGCGGCAUCCUGGACCAUUACUGACGCUGAGGCGCGAAAGCCAGGGGAGCAAACGGGAUUAGAUACCCCCGUAGUCCCUGAGCGGGCUGGCAAGGCGCAU